rnacentral:rRNA from 1 species
UACGUAGGGCGCAAUCGUUAUCCGGAAUUAUUGGGCGUAAAGCGCUCGUAGGCGGUCUGUCGCGUCGGCUGUGAAAACCCGGAGCUCAACUCCGGGCCUGCAGUCGAUACGGGCAGACUGGAGUUCGGCAGGGGAGACUGGAAUUCCUGGUGUAGCGGUGAAAUGCGCAGAUAUCAGGAGGAACACCGGUGGCGAAGGCGGGUCUCUGGGCCGAUACUGACGCUGAGGAGCGAAAGCGUGGGGAGCGAACAGG